rnacentral:rRNA from 1 species
CAAAUUUAAAAUCUGGUGGUCUUUGGCUGUCCGAGUUGUAAACUAGAGAAGUGUUGCCCGCGCUGGACCGUGUACAAGUCUCCUGGAAUGGAGCGUCAUAGAGGGUGAGAAUCCCGUCUCUGACACGGACUACCAGGGCUUUGUGGUACGCUCUCAAAGAGUCGAGUUGUUUGGGAAUGCAGCUCAAAAUGGGUGGUAAAUUCCAUCUAAAGCUAAAUAUUGGCGAGAGACCGAUAGCGAACAAGUACCGUGAGGGAAAGAUGAAAAGAACUUUGGAAAGAGAGUUAAACAGUACGUGAAAUUGCUGAAAGGGAAACGCUUGAAGUCAGUCGCGUUGGCCGGGAAUCAGCCUCGCUCUUUUGCGUGGUGUACUUUCUGGUUGAUGGGUCAGCAUCAAUUUUGACUGCUGGAAAAAGGCAUGAGGAAUGUGGCAGCUCCUGCUGUGUUAUAGCUUCUUGUCACAUACAGCGGUUGGGAUUGAGGAACUCAGCACGCCGCAAGGCCGGGUUUCGACCACGUUCGUGCUUAGGAUGCUGGCAUAAUGGCUUUAAGCGACCCGUCUUGAAACACGGACCAAGGAGUCUAACAUGCCUGCAAGUGUUUGGGUGGAAAACCCGAGCGCGUAAUGAAAGUGAAAGUUGAGAUCCCUGUCGUGGGGAGCAUCGACGCCCAGACCAGAACUUUUGGGACGGAUCUGCGGUAGAGCAUGUAUGUUGGGACCCGAAAGAUGGUGAACUAUGCCUGAAUAGGGUGAAGCCAGAGGAAACUCUGGUGGAGGCUCGUAGCGAUUCUGACGUGCAAAUCGAUCGUCAAAUUUGGGUAUAGGGGCGAAGACU